GCCGCCGCCGCCCGCCAUGCGCUUCCGCUUUGGGGUGGUGGUGCCGCCCGCCGUGGCCGGCGCCCGGCCGGAGCUGCUGGUGGUGGGGUCGCGGCCCGAGCUGGGGCGUUGGGAGCCGCGCGGUGCCGUCCGCCUGAGGCCGGCAGGCACCGCGGCGGGCGCCGGGGCCCUGGCGCUGCAGGAGCCGGGCCUGUGGCUCGGGGAGGUGGAGCUGGCGGCCGAGGAGGCGGCGCAGGACGGGGCGGAGCCGGGCCGCGUGGACACGUUCUGGUACAAGUUCCUGAAGCGGGAGCCGGGAGGAGAGCUCUCCUGGGAAGAAUUCUACCAAAUAUCUGGCUGGGUAGCUGCCCUCGUCAGGUGGAACAUGUAACCAU
rnacentral:sRNA from 1 species